UGAACGCUGGCGGCGUGCCUACCACAUGCACGUCGCCCGGAGUCCAGCCUUAGAGACCUUCGGGUCAAAGAGGGGAAGACUGAGUGGCGGACGGGUGAGUAACACGUGGGCAACCUGGCUCAUAGAGGGGGAUAACAGAGAGAAAUUUCUGCUAAUACCGCAUAAGCACACACUGCCGCAUGGCAGAGUGUGAAAAGAGAAUCGCUAUGAGAUGGACCCGCGUCUGAUUAGCCAGUUGGCAGGGUAAGAGCCUACCAAAGCGACGAUCAGUAGCCGAUUUGAGAGGAUGAACGGCCACAUUGGGACUGAGACACGGCCCAAACUCCUACGGGAGGCAGCAGUGGGGGAUAUUGCACAAUGGGGGGAACCCUGAUGCAGCGACGCCGCGUGAGUGAAGAAGUAUUUCGGUAUGUAAAGCUCUAUCAGCAGGGAAGAUAAUGACAGUACCUGAAUAAGAAGCCCCGGCUAACUACGUG
rnacentral:rRNA from 1 species